AGAGUUUGAUCCUGGCUCAGGACGAACGCUGGCGGCGUGCCUAAUACAUGCAAGUCGAGCGAGCGGAACUAACAGAUUUACUUCGGUAAUGACGUUAGGAAAGCGAGCGGCGGAUGGGUGAGUAACACGUGGGGAACCUGCCCCAUAGUCUGGGAUACCACUUGGAAACAGGUGCUAAUACCGGAUAAGAAAGCAGAUCGCAUGAUCAGCUUUUAAAAGGCGGCGUAAGCUGUCGCUAUGGGAUGGCCCCGCGGUGCAUUAGCUAGUUGGUAAGGUAAAGGCUUACCAAGGCGAUGAUGCAUAGCCGAGUUGAGAGACUGAUCGGCCACAUUGGGACUGAGACACGGCCCAAACUCCUACGGGAGGCAGCAGUAGGGAAUCUUCCACAAUGGACGCAAGUCUGAUGGAGCAACGCCGCGUGAGUGAAGAAGGUUUUCGGAUCGUAAAGCUCUGUUGUUGGUGAAGAAGGAUAGAGGUAGUAACUGGCCUUUAUUUGACGGUAAUCAACCAGAAAGUCACGGCUAACUACGUGCCAGCAGCCGCGGUAAUACGUAGGUGGCAAGCGUUGUCCGGAAUUACUGGGUGUAAAGGGAGCGUAGGCGGGAAGGCAAGUCGAUUGUCUAAACUAUGGGCUCAACCCAUAGUCGCGAUCGAAACUGUCUUUCUUGAGUGAAGUAGAGGUAAGCGGAAUUCCUAGUGUAGCGGUGAAAUGCGUAAAUAUUAGGAGGAACACCAGUGGCGAAGGCGGCUUACUGGGCUUUAACUGACGCUGAGGCUCGAAAGCGUGGGUAGCAAACAGGAUUAGAUACCCUGGUAGUCCACGCUGUAAACGAUGGGUGCUGGGUGCUGGGAUGUAUGUCUCGGUGCCGUAGCUAACGCGAUAAGCACCCCGCCUGGGGAGUACGGUCGCAAGGCUGAAACUCAAAGAAAUUGACGGGGGCCCGCACAAGCGGUGGAGUAUGUGGUUUAAUUCGAUGCAACGCGAAGAACCUUACCCAGGCUUGACAUCUAGGGAACCCUUCGGAAAUGAAGGGGUGCCCUUCGGGGAGCCCUAAGACAGGUGCUGCAUGGCUGUCGUCAGCUCGUGCCGUGAGGUGUUGGGUUAAGUCCCGCAACGAGCGCAACCCCUAUCUUCAGUUGCCAGCAGGUAAGGCUGGGCACUCUGGAGAGACCGCCCCGGUCAACGGGGAGGAAGGUGGGGACGACGUCAAGUCAUCAUGGCCCUUACGCCUGGGGCUACACACGUACUACAAUGGCGCGCACAAAGGGUAGCGAGACCGCGAGGUGGAGCCAAUCCCAAAAAACGCGUCCCAGUCCGGAUUGGAGUCUGCAACUCGACUCCAUGAAGUCGGAAUCGCUAGUAAUUCGAGAUCAGCAUGCUCGGGUGAAUGCGUUCCCGGGCCUUGUACACACCGCCCGUCACACCACGAAAGUCGGUUUUACCCGAAGCCGGUGAGCUAACUCGCAAGAGAAGCAGCCGUCUACGGUAGGGCCGAUGAUUGGGGUGAAGUCGUAACAAGGUAGCCGUAGGGGAACCUGCGGCUG
rnacentral:rRNA from 1 species